rnacentral:rRNA from 1 species
UACGAAGGGGGCUAGCGUUGUUCGGAAUUACUGGGCGUAAAGCGCGCGUAGGCGGCUUUGUAAGUUAGAGGUGAAAGCCCGGGGCUCAACCCCGGAACUGCCUUUAAGACUGCAUCGCUUGAAUCCAGGAGAGGUGAGUGGAAUUCCGAGUGUAGAGGUGAAAUUCGUAGAUAUUCGGAAGAACACCAGUGGCGAAGGCGGCUCACUGGACUGGUAUUGACGCUGAUGUGCGAAAGCGUGGGGAGCAAACAGG